UACGUAGGGUGCAAGCGUUGUCCGGAAUUAUUGGGCGUAAAGAGCUCGUAGGCGGUUUGUCGCGUCUGCUGUGAAAUCUGGGGGCUCAACCCCCAGCCUGCAGUGGGUACGGGCAGACUAGAGUGUGGUAGGGGAGACUGGAAUUCCUGGUGUAGCGGUGAAAUGCGCAGAUAUCAGGAGGAACACCGAUGGCGAAGGCAGGUCUCUGGGCCACUACUGACGCUGAGAAGCGAAAGCAUGGGGAGCGAACAGG
rnacentral:rRNA from 1 species